GUAAAAUAAAAAUUUCCAAUGGAACAUAGGCUUGGAGCAGUUUAUCUGCCUUUGUUCUGGAUAUAAUUUUUUUCCUUCUGCAUCAGGUAAGUGUAUCAGCAGUUUAGAUUACUGGCUAAUUUCUGCAGCCCCUAAUAUUUCAAUUGUGGCUUUUUUCUUCUUCUUCUUCUUCUUCUUCUUCUUUCAUUCCUGGAGUAUAAAUGAAAAUGAG